GCCCUAAUUUACCAUAGCUCUAGCACUUUACCUUUCUUUUUGCCUUGGACUUCGAUCUGGAUUUUCCUCUAUCACCAUGAUCUCUCUCCAUGGACCUUCCUUGUGCUAUCAUUGCAUCAGCUGAUGAACUUUGGCUUAACUGACACCUCAAUUUUUCAGUAAAAAGCAAUGCUACAAUAGAUUCCAUCUCAACAGACUUCAUAUGGCUAAGAUUCAUAAUCAGAUUAUCCCAAGAAUCCGGUAUGAA
rnacentral:lncRNA from 1 species